rnacentral:rRNA from 1 species
UACAGAGGUCUCAAGCGUUGUUCGGAUUCAUUGGGCGUAAAGGGUGCGUAGGCGGCGCGGUAAGUCGGGUGUGAAAUCUCGGGCUUAACUCCGAAACUGCAUUCGAUACUGCCGUGCUUGAGGACUGGAGAGGAGACUGGAAUUUACGGUGUAGCGGUGAAAUGCGUAGAUAUCGUAAGGAAGACCAGUGGCGAAGGCGGGUCUCUGGACAGCUUCCUGACGCUGAGGCACG